rnacentral:lncRNA from 1 species
AUGUUGUUCGCAGUUUUACAAAGGUUCUAGGCAAUACAGCACAAACAUAUUUUCUUUCUCAUCACCAUACAUAAGUUCGUUGGCGGCUGUUAAUAUACUCCAAGCUCACAUUACUUCAGAUUUGGGUGAAUUCAUGAAUAAGAUUAGCCUCUUAUCUGGAAUUCUUGCCUCCAUCUUAUUAUUGCUUAUCCUUGUUCCAGCCUUUGGGUGGUUUGCCCUCAUCUUGUGGACCGCUUGUCUUGUGACAAUUGUGACCAAAUCCUACCAAUCUUUGAAAACAUUAUUGUAUACAACUGUUGCAGAUGCUAGUAGUGGUUCUUCGUGCCUAUGGCAAGUUGAAGGAGCUCAUGAAUAGCCGCUUGACGGAAGAAGCCGCGGACCAGCAGAAUGGGCUAUACCCUGA